rnacentral:rRNA from 1 species
UGAGUAACACGUGGGUAAUCUGCCCUGCACUCUGGGAUAAGCCUGGGAAACUGGGUCUAAUACUGGAUAUGACCUUUCUCCUUAUGGGGUUUGGUGGAAAGUUUUCGGUGUAGGAUGAGCCCGCGGCCUAUCAGCUUGUUGGUGGGGUGAUGGCCUACCAAGGCGACGACGGGUAGCCGGCCUGAGAGGGUGAUCGGCCACAUUGGGACUGAGAUACGGCCCAG